AUGGAUCACACUGGCAUCAGCAUGGGCAUGGAGAAGAAGAGCGUGGCCAUCAUCGGCGCCGGCGUGAGCGGGCUGGCGGCCUGCAAGCACCUGCUGGAGCGUGGGUGCCGGCCAGUGGUCUUCGAGGCGGACGCCGUCGUCGGCGGUGUGUGGGCGCACACCCCGGACUGCACCAGGCUCCAGACGUCGCGGACCAUGUACCAGUACACGGACUUCCCGUGGCCAGACUCCGUCACGGAGGAGUACCCCAACAACCACCAGGUCGCCGACUACCUCCACGCCUACGCCCGCCACUUCGGGGUGCUCGACUGCAUCAGGUUCGGGCAUCGCGUGGCCGGGAUGGAGUACGUCGGCGUCGCCGAGGAGGAGGUGAAGGCGUGGGAGGAGUGGGCUGGCUGCGCUGACGCAUUUGGCUCCGGCGACGGACAGUGGCGCCUCACUGUGGCCGACGACCAAGGUCACAUGCAGGUACACAUGGCGGACUUUGUGAUUCUUUGUAUUGGAAGGUUCAGCAAUGUUCCCAACAUACCUAAAUUACCCCCUGGUAGAGGCCCGGAAGCAUUUGAUGGAGAAGUGAUCCACUCCAUUGACUACUCUAAAAUGGGUAGCAAAAAAGCUAAGGAGAUGAUCAAGGGCAAGCGUGUGACUAUUGUUGGCUAUGGACACUCAGCCCUUGACAUUGCUAAUGAAUGUGUAGAUGUGAAUGGUAUCGAGAAACCGUGUACAAUGAUUGUCCGAACCAAGCAAUGGAUCGUACCAGACUUCAAUGCUUGGGGUGUCGACAUAUCCAAUUUCUAUCUAACUCGGUUCGCUGAACUCCUUAUUCACAAACCUGCUGAAGGCUUCCUCCUUAGCUUGUUAGCUACAAUCUUGACUCCACUGAGGUUGAUGUUUUCGAAGUUCGCUGAGAGCUACUACUCCAUUAUAAUGAAGAAGCAUGACAUGGUUCCUGACCAUAGUUUAUUUGAGGGGAUAGUGGGGUGUUUGCUUGAACUUGCACCAAACGAUCAUUACAAGAAUCUAGAGGAAGGAAGCAUCAUUUUGAAGAAGUCAAAGACCUUCAGCUUUUGCAAAGAAGGUGUGCUUGUUGAAGGUGAACCUUCGUUGGUAAAGAGUGACAUAGUUAUCUUCGGAACAGGAUUCAAUGGUGAUGAAAACAUCAAGAACAUGUUCACAUCGAAAUACUUCCAGAGUAUUUCCAUUGGCUCGGCAUCCACUACUGUACCACUCUAUAGGGAGUGCAUACAUCCUAAUAUUCCACAACUUGCGGUCAUUGGAUAUUCUGAGAGCUAUACAAAUCUGCACACUUCAGAACUACGGACCAAGUGGCUGGCUCAUUUCAUGGAUGGUGGAUUUAGGUUACCAAAUGUUAAAGCAAUGCAGAGGGAUGUCCUUGAAUGGGAGAAGUUCAUGAAGCGCUACUCUCGUGGGGAAUUCCGUUCGUCAUGCAUUGGACUUCUUAAUACCUGGUACAAAGAUAACUUAUGUCGGGACAUGGGAUGCAACCCAAGAAGGAAGAAUGGUUUUUUUGCUGAACUAUUUGAGGUCUAUGGUCCCAGCGAUUAUAUUGAUCUUCACCCUAAGUAA
rnacentral:rRNA from 1 species